CGCGUAGGUGGUUCAGUCAGUCAGAUGUGAAAGCCCCGGGCUCAACCUGGGAAUUGCACCUGAUACUGCUGAACUAGAGUACGGUAGAGGGUAGUGGAAUUUCCGGUGUAGCGGUGAAAUGCGUAGAGAUCAGAAGGAACACCAGUGGCGAAGGCGACUACCUGGACCGAUACUGACACUGAGGUGCGAAAGCGUGGGUAGCAAACA
rnacentral:rRNA from 1 species